rnacentral:rRNA from 1 species
AGGUAUUGAAAUAAGAUUUUAAUUGAAUGCUAAGAGAAUGGAAGUCGCCAAGAAAAAAACGGUUUUUUUAAAUUAAAAAUUGAAGUUUUUUUAAUUGGUGCAAGAAACAAUUAUUUAUAUUAAAGACAAGAAGACCCUAUGAAUUUAUUAAAUUUUUAUUUAAUAUGUAAUUACUAUUAGAAAAAUUUGGGCUGGGGGCGGCUAGAAAAAUAUUAUGAACUUUUUUAAAAAUAAA